rnacentral:rRNA from 1 species
UACGGAGGGUGCAAGCGUUAAUCGGAAUUACUGGGCGUAAAGCGCGCGUAGGUGGUUAGGUAAGCGAGAUGUGAAAGCCCCGGGCUUAACCUGGGAACGGCAUUUCGAACUGUCUGGCUAGAGUGUGGUAGAGGGUAGUGGAAUUUCCUGUGUAGCGGUGAAAUGCGUAGAUAUCGGGAGGAAGGUCGGUGGCGAAGGCGGCCUCCUGGGCCUGCACUGACGCUGAGGCGCGAAAGCGUGGGGAGCAAACAGG